AUUGAACGCUGGCGGCAUGCCUUACACAUGCAAGUCGAACGGCAGCAUGAUCUAGCUUGCUAGAUUGAUGGCGAGUGGCGACCGGGUGAGUAAUACAUCGGAACGUGCCCUGUAGUGGGGGAUAACUAGUCGAAAGAUUAGCUAAUACCGCAUACGACCUGAGGGUGAAAGUGGGGGACCGCAAGGCCUCAUGCUAUAGGAGCGGCCGAUGUCUGAUUAGCUAGUUGGUGAGGUAAAGGCUCACCAAGGCGACGAUCAGUAGCUGGUCUGAGAGGACGAUCAGCCACACUGGGACUGAGACACGGCCCAGACUCCUACGGGAGGCAGCAGUGGGGAAUUUUGGACAAUGGGCGAAAGCCUGAUCCAGCAAUGCCGCGUGUGUGAAGAAGGCCUUCGGGUUGUAAAGCACUUUUGUCCGGAAAGAAAUGGCUCUGGUUAAUACCUGGGGUCGAUGACGGUACCGGAAGAAUAAGGACCGGCUAACUACGU
rnacentral:rRNA from 1 species